rnacentral:rRNA from 1 species
GAUGAACGCUGGCGGCGUGCCUAAUACAUGCAAGUCGAGCGAACAGACGAGGAGCUUGCUCCUCUGACGUUAGCGGCGGACGGGUGAGUAACACGUGGAUAACCUACCUAUAAGACUGGGAUAACUUCGGGAAACCGGAGCUAAUACCGGAUAAUAUAUUGAACCGCAUGGUUCAAUAGUGAAAGACGGUUUUGCUGUCACUUAUAGAUGGAUCCGCGCCGCAUUAGCUAGUUGGUAAGGUAACGGCUUACCAAGGCAACGAUGCGUAGCCGACCUGAGAGGGUGAUCAGCCACACUGGAACUGAGACACGGUCCAGACUCCUACGGGAGGCAGCAGUAGGGAAUCUUCCGCAAUGGGCGAAAGCCUGACGGAGCAACGCCGCGUGAGUGAUGAAGGUCUUCGGAUCGUAAAACUCUUUUAUUAGGGAAGAACAAAUGUGUAAGUAACUAUGCCCGUCUUGACGGUACCUGUUCAGAAAGCCACGGCUAACUACGUG